UUUCUGAUAGCUUAAUUGGUAGAGCACAUGGCUGUUAACCAUAAGGUUGUAGGUUCGAAUCCUACUCAGAAAG
rnacentral:tRNA from 1 species